rnacentral:tRNA from 1 species
GGGCCUAUAGCUCAGCUGGUUUAGAGCAUCUGCCUUACAAGCAGAGGGUCGGCGGUUCGAAUCCGUCAACGCCCA